rnacentral:rRNA from 1 species
GCGAAACGUUAGCGGCGGGCCUAAACACAUGCAAGUCGCACGAAGAAAAGGGCUUCGGCCCCGAGUAAAGUGGCGGGACGGGUUGAGUAACACGUGGGUAAUCUGCCCUUCGGCGGGGGAUAAACAGUCCGAAAGGACUGCUAAUACCGCGUACGUCGUCGAGGACUUAGGUCCUUUGACGGGAAAGCCGGCCUCUUCAUGAAAGCCUGGCACCGAAGGAGGGGCCCGCCGGCCCAUCAGCUAGUUGGUGAGGUAACGGCUCACCAAGGCAAAGACGGGUAGCUGGUCUGAGAGGAUGAUUCAGCCACAACUGGGACUGAGACACGGCCCAGAACUCCUACGGGAGGCAGCAGUGGGGAAUAUUGGGCCAAUGGGCGCAAGCCCUGACCAGCCACGCCGCGUGAGUGAUGAAAGGCCUUCGGGUCGUAAAGCCUCUGUGGGGAGGGACGAAAAAAACGUGAGCUAAUAUCUCACGGCUUGCCGGUACCUCCUUAGCAAGCCACCGGCUAACUCCGUGCCAGCAGCCGCGGUAAUACGGAGGGUGCAAACGUUGCUCGGAAUCAUUGGGCGUAAAGCGCACGUAGGGCGGUCCGUCAAGUCGGGAGUGAAAGCCCUCGGCUUAACCGAGGAAGUGCUUUCGAAACUAACGGACUGAAUACGGGAGAGGGUCGCGGAAUUCCCGGUGUAGAGGUGAAAUUCGUAGAUAUCGGGAGGAACCACCAGUGGCGAAGGCGGCGACCUGGACCGAUAUUGACGCUGAGGUUGCGAAAAGCCGUGGGGAGCAAACAGGAUUAGAUACCCUGGUAGUCCACGCCCGUAACGAUGAGUGCUAGAAUGUCCGCGGGUAUUGACCCCUUGCGGCGUCGCAGCUAACGCAAUUAAGCACUCCCGCCUGGGGAGUACGGCCCGCAAGGCUAAAACUCAAAGGAAUUGACGGGGGCCCGCACAAGCGGUGGAGCCAUGUGGUUCAAUUCGACGCAACGCGAAGAACCUUACCUGGGUUAAAUCCAGUCGUACCCUUCAGAGAUGAGGGGGUGCUCGCAAGAGAGGCGAUUGAGAAGGUGCUGCAUGGCUGUCGUCAGCUCGUUGUCGUGAGAUGUUGGGUUAAGUCCCGCAACGAGCGCAACCCCCUGUCGUUAGUUGCCAACGGGAAAGCCGGGCACUCUAAACGAGACUGCCGACGUUAAGUUCGGAGGAAGGUGGGGAUGGAACGUCAAGUCCUCAUGGCCCUUAUGCCCAGGGCUACACACGUGCUACAAUGGCCGGUACAAAGGGUUGCCACACUGCGAAGUGGAGCCAAUCCCAAAAAAACCGGUCUCAGUUCGGAUAGAAGUCUGCAACUCGACUUCUUGAAGUCGGAAUCGCUAGUAAUCGCGGAUCAGGCACGCCGCGGUGAAUACGUUUCCCGGGCCCUUGUACACACCGCCCGUCACACCAUGGGAGUCAGUUUGCUCCAGAAGUGGGCUUGCCUAACCGAAAGGAAAGGCGGUCCCCAAGGAAGUGGCUGGUAACUGGGGUG